UUUUUAGAAAGUAGAAAAUAAAAGAGAAAUAAUGCAAUUGGUCCCAUAAUUUUUGGACCAAUAAUGAAAGAGAUAUGGAUUUUAGAAAUAAAAUGGAAUUAAAAGAAAUAAAAGAAAAUAGAAAUUAGAAAUUAAAAAUUAGAGAAAAGGAGAGGCGUUGGAUGAUGGCUCAUUAAUUGAGCUGGCAUAUCACAUGCCUCUCAGGCG
rnacentral:lncRNA from 1 species